rnacentral:rRNA from 1 species
UACAGAGGGUGCAAGCGUUAAUCGGAAUUACUGGGCGUAAAGGGCGCGUAGGCGGAUAGUUAAGUGAGAUGUGAAAUCCCUGGGCUUAACCUAGGAACUGCAUCUGAAACUGGCUGUCUGGAGUGCGGUAGAGGGUAGUGGAAUUUCCGGUGUAGCGGUGAAAUGCGUAGAUAUCGGAAGGAACACCAGUGGCGAAGGCGGCUACCUGGACUGACACUGACGCUGAGGCGCGAGAGCGUGGGGAGCAAACAGG